UAUCUCUUAAACGAAAAGAAAAAUGAGUUUCCAGAUAAGUUUUCAAGAUCGGUUGUGCAUUACAUACUUGUAUAGUUUCCAGAUUCCUGCAUCAGGAACGUGAAGAUGAAGCAAACAAAAUGAGUCUUAGGGAGGUUGAGGAAUUUCUGACAUCCUGGUUUCGCACUCAUUUGUUUGGGUUGAUUUGCCAUGUUAUAAUUAUUUCCCCUAUUUUCUUGUCAAUCGUGUCUUAUAAUUUACCUCACACCGUUGACGAUUUGAUUUCUUGAUUCUAAGGUUUUGCUCAUAUUUGUUUGUGUUUGUUAUUUUCUUGAUAUGCUGCUAAGAGGAAGAUCGUUAGGGUUUUGCGUAUUGAUAUCGCGAGUUUCAAAGUUCUUUCGACUCUUCUUUUAUGGUUCAUGAUCGGAUAAUCUAUAUAUUCGUUUAUACGUUUUGCAGCGAUUUGGGGUUCUUAGUGAACGGCUUUAGAGAAAUCAAAUUUCUUCUCGGACAUAUGAAUUGAAUUGUAGACAUGUUUAUCUGCAGUAUGGCACGGAUCCCUGCAUUUGAUUUCUCUAGUCAAAUCUUUUACAGUAGAACAAUAUGAUUUUGAUUUCUUGAAUCUCAACUUUUCCAGAUUAUUUGCUCCGCGAUGGUUUGAUGUCAGGGUUUGUUGAUCAUGUUUUCUUUAUGGAUUUGUGUAUUGAUUUGUUUUCUCAGAUUGUCAAUCUCAAGAAUUUAUUAUAGGCACUCACUUCAUUUGGUAAUGGAUGCAAUGGUUACUUCAAUGAAGUUUUUGAACAUGUAUUUCUGCAAGAUUAUGUAUAGAAUAGCAAGACAUACAAGAUGAGGAAUUUUGGAAGAUAUAUCUUUUGAUAUUUUAUUGAGGACAUCUUAACUUUGUUUAUCUUUGUUGGGACUUGGGAACAUAUGUUGUCAAUGUCAUUCAUGAUUCAUGAUGAUUAUGAUAAUCCGAAAAAGAUACCUUCUUUGAUAUUGUGUCCCAAAGACCGCUCUGUACUGGAUUGGAACAAAGCAUCAGUUUUUGCCAGAUUGUAUAGUUUAAACAUGUUUUUCUGCAAGAUUAUGGAAAAUAGCAAGACAUACAAGAUGAUGAAUUUUGGAAAACAUAUCUUCUGAUAUUUUAUCGAGGGCAUCUUAACUUUGUUUAUCUUUGUUGGGAACAUAUGUUGUCAUUCAUGAUGAUUAUGAUAUUCCGAAAAAGAUACCUUCUUUGAUACUGUGUCCCAAAAACCGCUCUGUACUGUAUUGGAAUGAAUCAUCAAUUUUUGCAGGCUAUUCCUACUAAUGAUGCCCUUUAACUUGGUCGCCACUCUAGUUAAUAUGUGUGUUUUUGGUGGAACUCAUGGCAUGGAGAGGUUCUCAUACUUUCCAUUCAGCUUAUAUAGUGUCUUUGUUUUGGGAAAGUUGUCCUCUUAUUGUUUGUCCUGCUACAGUUGGAGUUUUGUGUUUUUGUAUUAGGAAUGGGAGUAGAAAGCAUACAAGAUUCUAGUACACCUCUUUUGCUCUCCUAAAUGGGUAUCCCUCACUUCCUUUUGUCUUAUUUGAUUUAUAUGAAUAACAGUUUUCUCGGCCAAAGUGGCGUCUGACACAACGAAGUCUAAAUAUUUGUCACAAAGUAAAGAUAAGAACCAAGAAUACUACAGAUAAAAUACUACAGAUAAAACCAAUUUUUCCAAUGAUUCGUUUUUUGUUAUAUUUAUUUCUUUGCUUUGAUCUUAAGACAUUUGAAUCAAACUCAGGACACAUCUUUUCUGCAGUGUGGAUUGUUAGAUUUAUAACCUUCAUUGCAAGACAACCUCUAGUUUUGAUUUGGUCAUCUCUUGUAAAUUCUUUUUCGUUUAAUUACUCUCUAUAGAACAUAUGUCAUAUAUAUUGAUUUGCUAUUUACUGUUUGGUGUUGCAGGAGAGGAAUUCUUUUGAUUUCUUGAUUCUAAAGUUUGCUUCUAUUAUGGUCAAUUUUCUUUUAUUUUUGAUUCCUUGACUUAAGGGUUAGCUAAUCUUUGUUUUUUAUGUGCUAAAGGAGAUCAUUAAGAAUUUUCAUUUUGAAAUGCUUUUGUCAGAUUGUAUAGUUUCUAUAACUUUUAGAUUCACUUCUUCAUUUAUAAAUUAAAAGAUGCAUUUUUCCGUUUCACAGAAAUUUGAGAAGUUUGGAUAUCUAUAACAUCUAUAACAUCUUGAUACAACAUACAAAAACGGAGAAUAACCUUCUUCAUAGGAUGGAGCUUAGCAUUUUGAUUUUUGAUUUGGUGACCUCUAAAAAAUUCUUUCCAUUUUCAAUAUAUCUUUAUUGAUUCUAAAAACAUAUCUUCCUUGAUAUGGUUUACUCUUUGGUGUUACAGAUUAUCUAAUAUGUGAAGACAUGAUUUCUUCUAGUUCUAUCUUCCUCUUGUUUGAUCUUCAUGGUGAAUAUUUUGGUUUAUUGUUUCUUUGGUUUGAUUUGGUUGUUGUUAGUUUUAACCUUGAAGGAUAUUGUUUACUAUUAUUUUGUCAGGAUUUUAAAUGAUUGUUCUUUUUCGUCAACUUUUUUUCUUGGUCGUUGUGUUUUAUUUGUUCCAAGCAUUUAUUGGCAACUAGCCGGAGUUUUGGUGUGAAUUCUCUAUCUUUGAUGUACUGCAGAUUGAUUUCAAAUAAUGGUAAUUUUUUGUAUUUAUCACCAUAUUUGAAUUGCUAAUUGAAAUAUGUACUAUUUUUUGUCAUGUAGAGUGUUUUGUGUAGUAUCAAGCAAUGUGUAAUCAAGAAAUCAGGUUUUUUUUUUGUGCACUCUUCUUGGAUUGUGAUUUGUUUUCAUUUCAUUUUUUCUAUAUAGAGUUUUAUUGCAUACCUGUAAUAGUUUUCAGAUGUGAUACUUUUCCUUUGAUGGCAUGUCUUGCUAGAGUUUGAGUUUGUGUUUCUGCACCAGGAAUGUGAAUAUGAAGCAAAUAAAAUUAGUACAUCUUAGGGAGGUUGAGGAAUUUCUGACAACCUGGUUUCACACUCAUUUGUUCUUGUCAACUGUGUCUUAAAUAAGUAUAAGAAUAAGGAUUUUCUUCACGUUCAAUACUUUUCUUUUGAUGUCAUGUCAUCUUAGGGAGGUUGAGGAAUUUCAGACAACCUGAUUAGGUGCACUAUUGGUCGCUUUGAUUUUCCUUGUUAUAAUUAUUUCCCAUAUUUUCCUUGUCACAGGGGGAUAUGUUAAGUUCUCAAAGAUUAUCAACCACUUGUGUUUACUUUGGUUUUACAAGGGAAUUUUAAAAGCUGUGGUGGCCAAUAUUAAGGACAUGCUUAGAGCGCCCUUUAGAUUUGAUGGUUCAUAUUUUUAUUGAAAAGCCCUUUAGAUUUGACGGUGCAUAUUUUUCUUGAAAAUGUACUCGUGUUGUAAUAGUUAUUUUUCUGGUAAUGUAAUGUGCUAAUGUUAGUUCAAUCUUCCUCUUAUUUGAUAUUCAAGUUUUUUAUAUUCUCUCUUUCUUUUUCCUUGGUUACAUUGGUCUUUAAUGUAGGGGUUUGACUUUGAUCUGGUUCUUGCUGGUCUUGCUUGAGUUUGAAUCAAUUGCACUUAGGAUUUGAUCUGGCUUACUGUGCUGAAGCAAUCCUUGGUUUAUUUAAUACUGUAACUUAUUUUUAUCAGUGUUCCUCAGUUGAUUCUUGUUGUAUAUCCCUGGUUUAUAACUUGUAUAUAUUUGUUCUAUAAUAAUAGUCCCCUCCCUUGACUGAUUGCACAACAUUGCUUAACAGUAUUGUUGAGUAUAUCUCUUUUCGUCACCUUCUCUGGAUGUGGAAAUUCAUCAACUUGUGGGCGUGUGAUGAUCUAAAUCAAAGAGAGGUACUCGUCUCUUCUCUACGGUGCACAAGGAUUUCAUCGAGCAUCAGAAUUUGCUAUUGUCUACUCUGUUAUUAUUUCAGUAGCUUUACUGUACUACACUUUUACUAAAUGUUAUUUACUAAAUGUUAUGUUUGUUAAUGGAUAUAAUAGUACACAGCAUUAAGCCCAAGAUUGUAGAAAUUUUGCUGCACAGGGGAUUAGGAAUGGGAGUAUAAAGCAUAGAUUCUAGUACACCUCUUUUGCCCUCCUGAGAGUAAGGAACUCUGCAGUGUGAUAUGUAAGAGUAAGACUAACAAUUAUAAUUUAGUACACCUCUUUUGCUCUCCUAAAUCGGUAUCCCUCAAUUCCUUUGUCUUAUUUGAUUUAUAAGAAUAAGAGUCUUCUUGGCCAAAAUGGUAUCUGACACAUGACACGGUGUAGUAGUGUAAAUAUUUGUCACCAAUGACCAAGUACAAAUAAGAACCAAGAACACUACAGAUAAAACCAAUUUUUUCAAUGAUUCAUUUUGUUUCAUAUUUAUUUCUUUGCUUUGAUGUCAAGACAUUUGAAUUAAACUCAGACCAUCUUUUUUGUAAUGUGGUUUGUAAAUUCUUUUCGUUUAAUGAUUCUAUAGAUCAUAUAUUUAUUGGUUUGCUUGUAUUUUCUCGCGUUUCUUGAUUUGUUGGUCAGAUUUUCUUGAUUUCUUAACUUAAGGGUUAGCUACUCUUUGUUUUUUUAUGUGCUAAAGAAAAUCAUUAAUAAUUUGCAUAUUGUUUCUAUAACCUUUAGAUUCAAUUCUUCAUUUAAUAAUUAAAAGAUACAUUUAUCUGUUUCACAGCAAGCUGAGAAGUUUGGAUAUCCAUAAUAGUUUGAUACGACAGACAAGAACAGAGAAUAACUCAAGAUAACUUCAUCAAGGUUUUUCAAUGGGUCAUUUUUUACUCUUUUUAUUUUCGGGCUUUGAUUGCAAGACAUACAAAUUGAAUUUUGAAUGUGAUUAUAUGCAGCUUGCUUGUUGAGCUAUAAUAACCUUCUUCAUAGGAUGGCGCUUAGCGUUUUGAUUUUUGAUUCGGUGACCUCUAAUAAAUUUUUGGUUUCAUGAUUUUAGGUUUGAUUUUGUUGUUAGUUUUAACCUUGAAAGUUAUCGUGCUUACUAUUAUUUUCAGGGUUUUAAAUGAUUGUUCUUUUGCGUCAACUUUUAUUCUCGAUUUACUCCUUUAUAUCACGUAGUUGUUACAUGUGAGAGAUAAGUAUUGAUGUGUGGGGUGAGAUUAAUCCUAUUGUGUAGUCUUGUUUUACUCCUUUAUACUUCCAUUGCAAAGGUUUUUGACUUAUAAUCUUCCAUUACAAAGGAUUUUGGAGAAAUUUGGAAAGCUUUGUUGUGGGCUUCUUUGUAACUAUAAUCUUCUGUUACUAUUUAUUCUUUUUUAAAUUCUUUUUGUAAGUUAUGAUUUAUAAUGAUGAUUGUACUCUUAAAAAGAUAUCCUCUUCCUUGCAGUGGUUAAAGUAAUCCUCUGUAUUAGGAUGAAGAAAUUGUCAUUUCAUAUGGGAACACUAUUUUGCAAAUUGGAUGGAAAUCUGUUCCACUGAAUGUUGUGAUACAUACUUCAUCAUCCAUACUGUUGCUAGGCCUUAAUUUGGCGGUCAUCUCAACUUAGACUCUUCACAUUUCAAUUUUUUUCAUAUUCAACAUCUACUGUUCCUUGUGAUUUGCUAUGGAAUUUGUGACAGGAAGACAUUCACUUACUGCGUUCAGCCUGGGGUAAAAAUCAGUUUUUGUAUUACAUACAUGUAUUUGAUUUCGCAUUUUUUAUACUUCUUUUAUGAUGGCAUGUCUUGCUACAGUUAGAGUUUGUGUUUUUGCACCAGCAACGUGAAUAUGAAGCUUAUAAAAUAAAUACAUCUCAGGGAGGUUGAGGAAUUUCAGACAACCUGGUUUAACACUCUUUUUGUGUUUCUUCUCGUUAGAUACUUUGCUUCUGAUUGCAUGUCUUGCUACAUUUGGCACACUAUUGUACGUCCCGGGUUGAUUUGCCUGGUUAUAAUUGUUUCCCAUAUUUUCUUGUCAAUUGUGUCUUAUUAAGUAUAAGAAUAAGAAUUUUCUUUUCCAAAUAGAUGUCACUCAUGGAAUCUGCAAUUUUCAUUUCCAAAUACUUGUGCUUUCUUGUGGUGAUCGUUUCUCUUAUUGAGUUCUUCACGGUUAGUUUUUUCGAUUCUUUCAUGAGUGGUUGAUAAUCUUUAUCAAUCACUCACGGUUAGUUUUUUCGUAUCCUUGAAAUGUACUCGUAUUGUAAUAUUCUCUCUUGUCUGUGUCAAUGUAAUGUGCUAAUGUUGAUUUUUGUGUUUUAUUGUUUUCAGAAUUACAAGUUUUAAGCAUUAGAAGAUCUUGAUUUUGUGAUCUCUUGUAACUUUUCCUUUUGAUAAUAUGCUUAGGUUUUUGAUAUAAUGCUUCAUUUGAUAAUUGUUCAAUGCUGUUAAAAUGAGAAGAAUAUUGACACACAAUUAUUUGUAUUGCAGCGAGCUGAUUUUUAGAUAUCUAUAGAAGUUUGCAGUUCAUGAUUACAACGGAUAAGAACAAUAAUGGUAUUGAAAUGAUAUGUUCUUUAUUAUUUUUAAAAUUAGAAGAAUUUUGAUUCCGGUUUAUCAAAAUAUUAUUCAAUAAUGCAUGGAGGCUGAGUUUUGAUUUGAUGAUUUUUUUUUUAAACUCUAAGUUUUCAGUAAUUCUCUAUCCUUUUUAAUUUUUUUGACACAAAUAAUUCUUUAUCCCUUUUGAAAGCAUAUUAUUCUUGAUCUUUAUUCUUAAAAAAUACCUUCUUUAAUACAAUGGCCUACUAAUCCGUACAUGAUUUUGCUGGAUUGGAGCGAAGCAUUAAUUUUUGCUGACUGUGUGUCAGACACUCAUUAUUGUUGCCCUUUAAUUUGGUCAUCCCUUUAGUCUAUAUGUGUGUUUUAGGUGGAACUCAUAGCAUGCAGAGGUUUACAUACUUUCCCUUCAGCCUAUAAUGUCUUUGUUUUGGGAGAGUUUUGUGUUUUGUAUUAGGAAUGGGAGUAUAAAGCAUACAAGAUUCUAGUAAACCUCUGUUGCUCUCCUAAAUGGUAUCCCUCACCUCCUUUGUCUCAUUUGAUUAUAAGAAUAAGAGUCUUCUCAGCCAAAGUGGUAUCUGACAUAGUGUAAAUAUUUGUCACCAAGUACAGAUAAGAACAAAGAUUAAUUUUUUGUCUUCCAAUGAUUAAUUUUUUGUUAUAUUUAUUUCUUUGCUUUGAUGUGAAGACAUUUGAAUUAAACUUAUAACAUCUUUUCUGCAGUGUGGUUUGUCAAAUUAAUAACCUUAAUUGCAAGACAGCCUUGAGGUUUGAUUUGGUCAACUCUUGUAAAUACUAUUUGGUGUUGCAGGAGAGGAAUUCUUUCGAUUUCUUGAUUAUAAAGUUUCCUUGUGUUGUGUUCUAUUUUCUCUCAUUUCUUGAGUCCUUGAUUCGCUAUCUAGUCUUCGUUUUUGUAUGUGCUAAAGGAGAUCAUUAAUAAUCUGCAUAUUGAAAUGCUUUUAUCAGAGUGUAUUGUUUCUAUACUUUUAAAUUCAAUUCUUCAUUUAAUAAUUAAGAGAUGCAUUAUUUGUUUCACAGCAAGCUGAGAGAAGUUUGGAUUUCCAUAGUGUCUUGAUACAACCGAAAAGAACGGAGAAUAACUUAAGAUAACUACAUCAAAGUAUUUCAAUGGGUCUUUGUUAGUGUUAAGAGUCCCACAUCGGACAAUAUAUGGCCUGAACGUGUCCUUAUAAGUGGGGGCAAUCCUCACCCUACAAGCCGGUUUUGUAGGGUUGAGUUAGGCCUAACCACACUUCUUAACAUGGUAUCAGAGCCUGGUUUAAGAUCCGGUGGGCCACCUUCUAUGGUUUCCGCUAUCGGGCCACCCACCGUUCAUUUCCAUGCUCCAGUUGUCUAGUCCUGGGCGUGAGGGGGUGUGUUAAGAGUCCCACAUCGGACAAUAUAUGGCCUGAACGUGUCCUUAUAAGUGGGGGCAAUCCUCACCCUACAAGCCGGUUUUGUAGGGUUGAGUUAGGCCUAACCACACUUCUUAACAGUUAGUAUUUUUAUUUUUGGGGUUUGAUUUCAAGGCAUACAAAUUGAAUUUUGGAUGUGAAUUUAUGCAGCGUGGUUGUAGAACUAUAAUAACCUUCAUAGGAUGUAUCGUAUACUCCAUCAUCUUUUGCAGGUUGUGUCGUAUACUUCAUAAUCUAUACUAUUGCUAGGCUUUAAUUUGGUCAUCUGUACUUAGAGACUCUUCACAUUUCUGUCUUUUUCAUACUCAGCAUCUACUUUUAUCAGUUCCUUGUGAUUUGCUACGAAACCUAUGACAAGAAGACAUUCACAUACUUUGCGUACGGCCUUGGAUAAGAUCGAUUAUUCUAUUUACGCAUGUGUACUAGUUUUUGGAUUUGUGAUACUUUUUUUUUAUGGCAUGUCUUGCUACUGUCGGACUUUUUGUGUUUCUGCAUCAGGAUCGUGAAUAAGUACAUCUUAGGGAGGUUGAGGAAUUUCAGACAACCUGGUUUGGCACUCUUUUGUUCGAGUUGAUUUUCCAUGUUAUAAUUAUUUCCCCUAUUUUCAUGAGUUCUAUGUGGUGGGCAUCACAGGGGAAUAUGUUAAGUUCUUUGUGGCAGAGGUUAUCAACCACUUCUGUUUACUUUGGUAUUACAGGAGAUUUUUAAAGCUAUGGUGGACAUUAUUAGGACAUGCUUUGAGCACCCUGAAUUUAACGGUUCAUUUUUCUUUGAAAAUGUACUUGUGUUGUAAUAGUUUCCUUUCUAUGGCAAUGUAAUUUAGUAAUGUUAAUUUGUGUAUAAUUGUUUUUCAGAAUUAGAAAUCUUAUCAUUCGGAGAUCUUGAUUUGGUGAUCUCUCGUAACUUUUUGUUUUAGUAUUUUUUUAUCAGUUCUGAGAAUAUUUCUUGAUAUGUUAUUUCUGAGAAUAUGCUUUGUAUGAUGAUUUCUUUCUGGUUUCUUGAUUCCGAGGUUUGAAUUUGUUCUUGGCUUUUAUCGCCAUACAUGUGAAUUAAAUAUUGCUCUGUUUUAUGCAGUGUAGUGUAGAAUAUCAAUUUGUGUAUAAACUAUAAAGUCUAUCUUUUACAAAUGUUUGUUCUACAUUUCGGUUUUUUUUUCAUACAGUGAAAAAGAUUACAUAAUUUUGGAGACGGACAAAUCGGCAGGCCUCUCUCUCUCUGUUAUGAUACUAAUCUGCGACUUGGCUUAGAGAAUUCUUUCAUAUCAUUUAAUUAUUGUCUGUUGUUGUUGACAAAGUAAGUUUAUUUUCCACCAAGUUUACUGUAGAACAAAAUUUUUCAUAAUUCUCAAUCACACACUCACCUUUUUAGUUGUUCUAGAGUGGAGAACCAAAUUUUCUGUAGAACAAAAGUUUUCUUAAUUCUCAAUCACACACUCACCUUUUUAGUUGGUCUAGAGUGGAGAAAUCUUCUAUUUUGUUGCUUAAAAAGAUAAUACCUUCUUAAAUACAGUGGCCAAGAGACUGCUCUGUACAUGAUUUUGUUGGAUUGGAAUGAAUCAUCAACUUUUGCAGGUUGUAUAGUAGGGCACUAUUUUACAUGUGUGUUUUCUGUGGAACUCAUGGAAUGCAGAGGUUCACAAACUUCCAUUCAGCUUAUAUUGUGUCUUUGUUUCGGGAUACUUGUACUCUUAUUGUUUGGAGUUUUGUGUUUUUGUAUUAGGAAUGGCAGUAUAAAGCAUACUCUUAAGAAUAAGGAACUCUGCAGUGUGAUAUAUAGACCAACAGUUAUACUCUAGUACACCUCUUUUCCUCUCCUAAAUGGGUAUCCCUCACUUCCUUUGUCUUAUUUGGUUUAUAAGAAUAACAGUCUUCUCGGCCAAAGUGGUAUCUGACACAGUGGAGAAGUGUGAAUAUUUGUCAACAAGUACAGAUAUGAAUCCAAUUUUUACAAUGAUUCAUUUAUAUUUAUAUGUAUUUCUUUGCUCAAGACAUUUGAAUUAAACUCAAGACACAGUGGACAAGUGUGAUUUGUCAAAUUAAUAACCAUUGCAAGACAGCCUCAAGUUUUAUAUGGUCAUCUCUUUUAAAUUUCUUUUCAUUUAAUAACUCUUGAUAGAGCAUAUAUUUCUUGAUAUGUUAUUUACUCUUUGGUGUUGCAGGAGAGGAAUUCUUUUGAUUUCUUGAUUCUUAAGUAUGCUUGUGUUGUGUUCAACUUUCUUUUGUUUCUUGAUUCCUUGAUUCGCAGGCCAAAAGUUUCUGAUUUCUUGUGUUCAACUUUCUCUUCUUUCUUAACGUAAGGGUUAGCUAGUUUUUGUUUUUGAAUGUGCUAAAGGAGAUCAUUAGUAACUUGCAUUUUGAAAUGCUAUAUUUUAAUAACUUUUAGAUCCAGUUCUUCAUUUAAUAAGUAAGAGAUGCAUUUAUCCGUUUCACAACAAGCUGAGAAGUUUAGAUAUCCAUAAUGGCUUGAUAGGACAGACAAGAACAGAGAAUAACUCAAAGAUAACUUCAUCAAAGUUUUUCAAUUGGUCAUUUUUUACUAUUUCAUUUCCGGGCUUUGAUUGCAAGACAUACAAAUUAAAUUUUGAAAGUGAUUUUAUGCAGCUUGCGUGUCGAAUAAUAACCUUCUUCGGAGGAUGGUGCUUAGUGUUUUGAUUUUUGAUUCGGCGACCUCUAAUAAAUUCUUUUCAUUUUCAAUGUUUCUUUAUCGACUCUGAAAGCAUAUCUUCCUUGAUUUGGUAUUUUCUCUUUGCUGUUGCAGGAUAUCUAGUAUGUGAGCGCGUGAUUUCUUCUGGUUUGAUCUUCGUGGUUAAUUUUUUGGUUUUUUGAUUUUAGGUUUGAUUUGGUUGUUAGUUUUAACCUUAAAAGUUAUUGUGUUUACUAUUAUUUUCAGGGUUUUAAAUGAUUGUUCUUUUGCGUCAGCUUUUCUUCUCGAUUUACUCCUUCAUGUCACAUAGCUGUUACAUGCGAGGGAUAAGUAUUGAUGUGCGGUGUGAGAUUAAUCUUACCGUGUAGUCUUGUUUUAAUCCUUUAUACUUGUAAAGUCAACCUUGGGGUUUUUUUGAUCUCAUAAAUGCUACUAUUUUCUUACAAUUUAGGUUUUUGACUUAUAAUCUUCCAUUGCAAAGGAUUUUGGAGAAAUUAGGAAAGCUUUGUUGGUCCUUUGUAACUAUAAUCUUCACUAACUUUUUUUAAAAAUUAUUUUUGUAAGUUAUGAUUUAUGAUGAUGAAUAUACUCUUAAAAAUAUAUCUCGUUCCUUGCAGUGGUCAAAGUAAUCCUCUGUAUUAGGAUGAAGAAAUUGUCAUAUGGGAACAAAAUUUUACAAAUUGGAUGAAAAUCUGUUCUACUGAAUAUUGUGUCGUAUACUUCAUCAUCCAUACUAUUGCUAGGCCUUAAUAUGGCGGUCAUCUCUACUUAGACUCUUCACAUUUAAGUGUUUUUCAUAUUUAACAUCUACUUUUGUCAGUUCCUUGUGAUUUGUUAUGGAAUUUGUGACAGGAAGAUAUUCACAUACUGUGCUCAGCCUGGGAUAUGAUCGGUAGUAGUAUUGCUUGCAUACAUGUAUUAAGUUUCGCAUUUGUGAUACUUCUUUUUUGAUGGUAUGUCUUGCUACAGUUAGAGUUUGUGUUUCUUCAUCAGUAACGUGAAUAUGAAGCUUACAAAAUAAAUACAUCAUAGGGAGGCUGAGGAAUUUAAGACAACCUGGUUUGGCACUCUUUGUUUCUUCUUGUUUGAUACUUUUCUAUUGAUGGAUUGUCAUGCUACCAUUGGAGUUUUUAUGUUUCUGCAUCAGAAAAGCAAAUAUGAAGUGUAGAGAAUUGAAUAUUUGGUGAAAUGCUUGAGUUCCUAAUGCACUCAAGUAAUUUGAUUAUAUACACACUAGAGAGUAAAUACAAGAUAAAAUUUUCAAGGAUGUGCUAGUUCCUAGAUACAUGCAUGUAAUUUUCUAGGCAUAGACUCCUAGGUACAUGUAUUGACUCCUAAAUACAAAUUUAUAAUUCGAAUAUUUUAUAAUUCCAACACUCCCCCUCAAGCUGGUGAAUGGAUAUCAAUCAUUCCCAGCUUGCUAGUCAAUUGAUUGAAACGAUCAUGUGGCAUGCCUUUUGUUAACACAUCUGCUAGUUGAUGCCUAGAAGGAAUGUAGGAUGUAGCUAUUAAACCACUGUCUAGUUUUUCCUUGAUGAAAUGGCGGUCAAUCUCAAUGUGUUUGGUCCUGUCAUGCUGAACAUGAUUAUGAGCAAUACUGAUUGUUGACUUGUUGUCACAAAACAACUUCAUAGGCCCUUCACAUUGUAUUUUCAGAUCAUUUAGAAUGAUCCUCAUCCAAAGUAACUCACAAAUUCCUUGAGCCAAAGCUCAAAAUUCUGCCUCAGCGCUUGAUCGAGCCACUACAUUUUGUUUCUUACUUCUCCAUGUGACAAGGUUCCCACACAAGAGGGUGCAAAAACCCGAAGUGGAUCUUCUAUCACUAAUUGAUCCUGCAUAGUCAGCAUCGGUGUAGGCUUCUAUAGUUAAGCUUCCACCUCUUUUGAACAAUAGUCCUCUUCCUGGAGUAGCCUUGAGGUAUUGCAAGAUGCGAUCAACAGAUUGUAAGUGUCGCAUUCUCGGGUCAUGCAUAAAUUGACUCACUACACUGACUGCAUAAGCCAAGUCAGGUCUAGUGUGUGCCAGGUAAAUCAACUUCCCUACCAACCUCUGAUAUUGGACUCUGUCAACUUUGGCACUUUCUUCUUCAAGGCUCAACUUGUGGUUUUGCUCUAUGGGAACACUUGAAGGUUUGCAUCCUAGUUUCCCAGUUUCCUGCAAGAGAUCGAGUAUAUACUUCCUUUGAGAUAUGAAAAUGCCUUGGUUUGAGUAAGCAAUCUCAAUUCCCAAAAAAUACUUGAGUUGUCCAAGGUCCUUCAUCUCGAAUUCUACCGAUAGUUUUUCCUUUAGCAAUUGUUUCUCUGCGUGAUCAUCUCCUGUAAUAAUAAUAUCAUCAACAUAAAUAAUUAGUCAGUUUUCCUUCAUGCGAGUGCUUAAAGAAAAGAGUGUGAUCUCCUUGACUCUGCUUGUAGCCUAAGUACACCAUUGCUUUUAUGAAUCUUCCAAACCAUGCUCUAGGAGAUUGUUUUAGCCCAUAUAAGGCUUUCCUUAAUCGACACACCUUGUUGGAUCCACAUGAAGGACCAAAUCCCGGCGGGAUUUCCAUGUACACCUUCUUCUAAGUUUCCAUGCAAGAAUGCAUUUUUGACAUCAAAUUGUUGUAAUUCCCAUCCAAAGUGAGCAGCAAGAGAUAAUAAGAUUCGAACAGUGUUCAUUUUCGCAACUGGAGCAAAGGUUUCCUCAUAAUCUAUGCCAUAUGUUUGUGUGUAUCCUUUUGCUACUAGUCUGGCUUUUUAACGAUCAAGAGUACCAUCUGAUUUGUGUUUUACUGUGUAGAUCCACCUGCAACCAACGGGUUUCUUGCCUUCCCGUCUAUCAACAAUCUCCCAAGUUCCAUUUUUUCAAGAGCUUUCAUUUCCUCAUCCAUGGCUUGGACCCAAUUUCUAUCUUUCAAUGCCUCUUGAGCAGAUGAUGGGAUGACCACAGAGUCAACUGCAGAAAUAAAACUUUGAUGCUGCAAGGAAAGAUUUUUAGUGGAGACAAAUUGAGAUAUAGGGUAUUUGGCACAUGACCUUUUCCCUUUCCUUAAAGCAAUAGGCAAAUCAUCUGUAUUAGUGUCGCAAGUGUCAGAGCUAUGGGUAUCACUAAUAGGAUUAUGAGUUUCAACACACUUACCUCCGGUUCUGGCAAUUGGAGUUGUGUUUGGAGCAGGUCGGGCUUACUUCUUCUUUGAUACACCAAGGUUGGCUCACCAGCCUUAGUUUUUGUUGGAAUGGAAGAUGAUGGUUCCUGCAAAACAGACGACAAAGGAGGGACAGAAAUAGAAGCAGGCGACUCAGAUUCUGUAUUUGGAGAAGCAGGAUCAAUAAUAGGAGGAUCAGUAAUAGGACUUGACACAGGAUUCACAGCCGACUCAGGAGACUCAAUUGUAGGACCGGUAAUAGGACUUAUGAGAGGAGUCAUGGGCAACUCAGGUAGGACUAAAAAUUCGGAAUCAGAUUCUACAUUCUGAUUGCUCUCCCCCUGAAGCUGAGGACGAGAGAAGUAUGCUAAAUUCUCAUGAAAUGUGACAUCUUUAGAGACAAAGUACUUACGACUAGGAGGAUGAUAGCAUUUAUAUCCUCUCUUGUUUGGGAGAUAGCCAACAAAGAUGCAUCUGGCUGCGCGGGGGUCCAACUUAACCGGCUUGUAGGGUGAGGAUUGCCCCCACUUAUAAGGACAUGUUCAAGCCAUAUAUUAUCCGAUGUGGGACUCUUAACACACCCCCUCACGCCCAGGACUAGACAAUUGGAGCGUGGAAAUAAAUGGUGGGUGACCCGAUAGCGGAAACCAUAGAAGGUGGCCCACCGGAUCUUAAACGAGGCUCUGAUACCAUGUAGAGAAUUGAAUAUUUGGUGAAAUGCUUGAGUUCCUAAUGCACUCAAGUAAUUUGAUUAUAUACACACUUGAGAGUAAAUACAAGAUAAAAUUUUCAAGGAUGUGCUAGUUCCUAGAUACAUGCAUGUAAUUUUCUAGGCAUAGACUCCUAGGUACAUGUAUUGACUCCUAAAUACAAAUUUAUAAUUCGAAUAUUUUAUAAUUCCAACAUGAAGCUACAAAUAGAGUGAAUCUUAGGGAGAUUAAGGAAUUUCGAACAACCUAGUUUGGCGCUCUAUUGUUUGGCUCAGGUUGAUUUUCCUGGUUAUUAAUUAUUUUCCAUAUUUUCUUGUCAAUUGUGUCUUAUAUAAGUAUAAGAAUAAGAUUUUUUUUUCCAAAUGGAUGUUACUCACGGAAACUGAUGGGAUUCUCAAGUGGCAGUGAUGAAAUCGCGAGACUGAUAGAGGUUCUUAAUGACAUUCAAUACAUACAUCAUAUCAAGGUCUCUACAUAUAUAAGGAAAGAAAAUAUUGCUAUGAGCUUUCAAAUGAAAAGGAAGCCAGUAUGAUAAAAAAAUUGAGAGACAACUUGAACCUAUUUUUAUUGAUCCCAACCAAAAUGGUUGGAAUUUUUUCAUAGGUGGGAUCUUACCACCAAGCUAUCGACCACACCGUCCGACCAUUGAUGCCAUAAGAUAUAUAAUUUUGCCAUAAGUUAUGCUAUUUGAGCUAAAGAAUGUAUGAGCCACUUACUAAAGGCUUAUUGACAACCUUUAUCUUAAACAUUUUGGUUAAAACAUGGAGAUCUAAAUGGAAGGAGUGAUACAUAGUAUCAUUUUAAGGACAUGUGAAUCACAUUUGAACAUGUCAAAAAGUAUAUCAUGAGGAUAAACCUAGAAACUACACUUUUGGGGUUCAGUAAGGAGAAUUAUUAGGAUUCAUGAUUGACCAAAAGGGUUUGAAGUCAAUCAUCAUAAGUGCAUAUAAAUACUCGAGAUGAAAAGUAUGAAAUCCAUCUAAGAGGGACAACUAAUAUAAAAAUGGAGGAAGAAACUCAGGAGGUCAAAUGAUUAUUUUUCAAACUAUACUAUUAUAGAUUAUAGAUGAUAAACUAUGUGAGCUUGCAUUAGAUUCAAACAUAAGAGUUGUCAUCGACUCACUUGAUGCGGUCAGAGAAAUAGCAUAUAUAAUUGAGUAUGACAUAUUGAUUAACCAUGAAAACUAGCAAAUAGUUGGAAAAGUUGUAUUAGAUUAACUAUAUACUCAGAAAAUGAUCAUAUUAGCUGGAAGACCUAGCUAGAAAAAUCAUGUCGAAGGUUGUAGAAUGUGAUACACCUCAAAUUUCUUCGCGAUUAGUUUUUUCGAUUCUUUUACGAGUUCUAAGUGGUAGGUGUCAUACGGGGAUAUGUUAAGUUCUUUUGGCAAAGAUUAUCAACCACUUAUGUUUACUUGGGUUUUACAGGUGAUUUUAAAAGUUGUGGUGCAUAUUAUUUAGGACAUGCUUAGAGCGCCAUUGGGUUUAACGGUUCAUUUUUCCUUGAAAAAGUACUCGUGUUGUAAUAUUUGCUUCUCUAUGGCAAUGUAGUGUGCUAAUGUUAAUUUUUGUGUUUAAUUGUUUUCAGAAUUACAAGCUUUAAUCAUUAGGAGAUCUUGAUUUGGUGAUCUCUUGGAACUUUUCGUUUUGAUAACCUGUGUAGCGAGCUGAUUUCUAGAUAUCUGGAGCAGGUUGCAGUUCUUGAUUACAAUGGAUAAGAAUGAUAAUGGUAUAGAAUGAUACGUUCUUUAUUAUUUUUAUUUUAGGAUUUGAUUACAAGACAUGCAGUUUGAAUUCUAGACCUGGUUUUCUGGUUUGUCAAAAUAAUAUUCAAUAAAGCAUCGAGGCUGAGUUUUGAUUUGAUGAUUUUUUAAAAAAAAGAGUUUUCAAUAAUUCUUUAUCCCUUUUGACAGCAUAUAAUUCUUGAUCUUUUAUUCUUCAUGUUUUGUAUUCUGAUUUCUUUUUGGUUUCUUGAUUCUGAGGUUUGAUUUCGUUCUUGGCUUUUAUCGCCAUACAUGUAAAUUGUAAUCUAGUUCUGUUUUCUAGAAUAACAUUCUGUAUAGUAUCAAGCCUCUCUUAAGGGUUUUUCCCAUCAAUACUACUACUUUUCUCUUACAAAUGUUUGUUCUACAUUUGGGUUUUUAUUUUAGACAGUGCAAAAGUUUACAUAAUUUUCGAGGCAUCCGGACAAAUUGGCCGGCCUCUCUCUGUUAUAAUAACCUUCUUCAUAGGAUGUAUCAUAUACUUCAUCAUCUUCUGCAGGUUGUCAUAUACUUCAUAAUCCAAAAUAUUGCUAGGGAUUAAUUUGGUCAUCUAGAGACUCUUCACAUUUCUGUCUUUUUCAUACUCAUCAUCUACUUUUAUUAGUUCCUUGUGAUUUGCUACGGAACCUAUGACAAGAAGACAUUCACAUACUUUGUGUUCAGCCUUGGAUUAGAUCAAUUAUUGUAUUUAAUCAUGUGUAUUAGUCUUUCGAUGGCAUGUCUUGCUACAGUUGGAGUUGUUGUGUUUGGGCAUCAAGAUCGUGAAUAAGUACAUCUUAAGGAGGUUGAGGAAUUUCAAACAACCUGGUCUGGCACUCUUUUGUUCGGGUUGAUUUGCCAGGAAAGUGAAUAUGAAGCAGAAAUUUUAGGGAGGUUAAGGAAUUUCGGACAACCUGUUUUGGCACACUAUUGUUCGGUUUGAUAUGCCUUGUUAUAAUUACUUCCCAUAUUUUCUUGUCAAUUGUAUCUUAUAUAAGUAUAAGAAUAAGAAUUUUACCGGAUGGUACUAUUGCAACCAAAUGUUAACCUUUUUCAGGAUACUUAUAGCCCGUUCAAAGACCCAUUUUAGGUUAUUUAGACAUUUGUACAAGAAAACAUAGAUUUUCCAUGAGUAUAGGAUGCAACCUAUGACACACAAGGAAUAUGAAGAUGAAGAGCACUAUGACUGUUUUGGAUACUUUUAGAUUGUUUGGAAGAUGGUUGUGCUGUUGUGAUAAAUGGUGGAUAUGUCAAAGCUCUAAAGAUUCUUGCUGAUAUUAUGGAAUAUGGAGUCUAUUGUUGCUCCUUUUUAUUUUAUGUUGAUGUUGACUUUGACCCAAAAAGAUUAUGGGUGGUAUCAUUUGUUUUUUGAUUAAUUUACUCAGUUGUUCCUUUUUUUUUUAUUUGCAUGAUAAUAUGAAUGAUCUAGUGACAUUUUUGAAAUCAUGUGAAAUUUUCUCACUUUGUGAAAGGAACAUUAAUUAUUGGAAUUAUUGGGACAUAGUUACAACAUUGAAAAAAUAAGGUUUAAUUGCACCUGUGGCCGCCUUAGUUUCAGCUUCUUAAACUAAAAGUCCCCCAGUUUAAAAUUCAGGAUUCGUGCCCUCAAAGUUUUACUUUGUUAGGAUUUUUGAGCCCCCCUCCAUUUGGCAGUAUUUUUAAUGACAUGGCAUGGAAAUAAACUUGCCACAUGGAUAAUGAUUUAAUGAUGAAUGACAUGGAAAUAUGUUGUAUUUAAAAUAUUUUCAGAUUAUUUAUAAAAUAAACUUAAUUUGGAAAAUUUAUUUUUAAUUCAUUUAAUUGGAUAUAUAAGAAUUUAAUUUUGCCCUAAUCCCUUUUUCAGUCUCUCUUGUUCGUCAAAAUCCCUAAGCCCCUUCUCUCAGUGUUCUCCUUCAUCUUCAUUGCUACACUGCCAAUCUCGUUUUCUCCUUCAUCUCAGUGUUCUCCGUCAAAAUCACUUUCCUCCAGGCUUCAUCUUCUCUUUUCACCCAGUCAAUCUCGUUUUUCCAAAUCUUGUUUCUUUCAUUCCUAAUUCGUCAACCUUGAUAUUGUCUCAAAAGUCUGUGUCAAUUGAUAGCUAUAGAAGUCAUAGAAUGAGUCAGAAAUGUCACUGCGGUCUCGAUGCUCCAUUGAUGACGGCCUGGACCGAUACAAACCUAGGACGUCGCUUUUUUGGUUGUGGGAUGUACAAGGUUCAAGGUUUCAAGAAGUGCAGUAACUUUGUUUGGCUUGAUGAGGAAAUGAACCCUAGGGCAAAAGAAGUAAUUUCGAGCUUAAUGGAAAAGUUGAAUGAAGAAAAGCAGAGGGUUAAGGAUUCAAUCGCAAAAGAAGAAGAAUUAAAGAUGAAGAUGAAACUGAUAAAGAAACAAUUGAAGUUUAAUUGGGUCAUGACCAUUGUUGUGUUGGUAUCAUUAGUUGCAACAAUAG